rnacentral:lncRNA from 1 species
AUCUGUCUAGCAUUCUGGGAGGAGAAACUCAAUACCCAGCAUGAAACUGCACAUCUACGAUUCAUAUUUCACCUACAGUAAUCUGGAACAAAGAGGCCAUUGAAGGCACUGAGAAACUGAGAAACUGCCAUGUAACAAUACGCCAGGAACAAGGCGUUCCAAGGACUGCGGGGUGAGCAGAUGCUUCUCAUGGCACUGGAUAGUUUAAAGAAAAACAACGAGCAGCAGCCUAAAUCCCUAAAUACUUAGCUCAAGCCAUAGACUGAAACCCAGGAAAUUUCUGCAACUAAGCUAAACAAUUAUUUAUCAUUUUCAGGAGCAGAACUGAGAUGGGAGGCAAAUGUACAUUUGAGAUUGCAACUAUGGAAAUGAUGUAAGAUAAAAGGCAAAUUCGAGUGAUAUUCUUAUUUGAGUUCCAAAUGGGUCAUAAAGCAGCAGAGACAAGUGCAACAUCAACAAUGCAUUUGGCCAAAGAACUGCUAACGAACAGUGAAGUCGCAGUUCAAGAAGUUUUGCAAAGGAGACAAGAGCCUUGAACAAGAGGAGUGUGGUGGCCAGCCACUGGAAGUUGACAAUGACCAAUUGAGAGCAAUCAUCAAAGCUGAUCCUCUUAUAACUACAAGAGAAGUUGUUGAAGAACUCAACGUUGGCCACUCUACAGUCAUUUGGCAUUUGAAGCAAAUUGGAAAGGUGAAAAAGCUCGAUAAGUGGGUGCUUCAUGAGCUGAAUGAAAAUCAAAAAAAGUCAUUGUUUUGAAGUGUUGUUCUCUCUUAUUCUAUGCAACAACAAUAAACCAUUUCUUGAUUAGAUUGUGAUAUGUGAUGAAAAGUGGAUUUUGUACAACAACCGAUGAUGACCAGCUCAAUGGCUGGACCGAGAAGACGCUCCAAAGCACUUCCCAAAUCCAAACUUGCACCCAAAAAAGGCUCAUGGUCACUGUUUGGUGGUCUGCUGCUGGUCUGAUACACUACAGUUUUCUGAAUUUGUCGAAACCAUUACAUUUAAGAAGUAUGCUCAGCAAAUGGAUGAGAUGCACCAGAAACUGCAAUGUCUGCAGCCACCACUGGUCAAAAGAAAGAGCCCAAUUCUUCUCCAUGAAAACACCCGACUGCACAUCACACAACCAAUGCUUCAGAAGUUGAAUAAAUUGGGCUACGAAGUUUUGCCCUAUCUGCCAUAUUCACUUGACCUCAUCAACCAGCUACCACUUCUUCAAGCAUCUCCACAACAUUUUGCAGGGAAAAAUGCUUUCACAACCAGCAGGAUGCCGAAAAUGCUUUCCAAGAGUUCAUCGAAUCUCAAAGCAUGGAUUUUUCCACUACAGGAAUAAACAAA